ensembl:rRNA 5S_rRNA 5S ribosomal RNA
ACCUCCGGCUGUGAUCUUAUUAUAUCUCAUUUAUAAAUUGAACAGUGUUGGACCAGGUCAGUACUUGGAUGGAAAACUGCCAAGGAAAACCUCAGGUGCUGGAGGUA